AGCAGCCGCGGUAAUUCCAGCUCCAAUAGCGUAUAUUAAAGUUGUUGCAGUUAAAAAGCUCGUAGUUGAAUUUCGGGAUCAGUACGCUGGUCGUGCCUUUGGUAUGUACUGGUGUCACUGAUUCCUCCCUUCUGAAGAACCGUUAUGCCAUUUAUUUGGUGUGGCGGGAAAUCAGGACUGUUACUUUGAAAAAAUUAGAGUGUUUAAAGCAGGCUCGCGCUUGAAUACAUUAGCAUGGAAUAAUGAAAUAGGACGUUUGAUCUUAUUUUGUUGGUAUCUAGGAUCGACGUAAUGAUUAGUAGGGAUAGUUGGGGGCAUUAGUAUUCAAUUGUCAGAGGUGAAAUUCUUGGAUUUAUUGAAGACUAACUACUGCGAAAGCAUUUGCCAAGGAUGUUUUCAUUAAUCAAGAACGAAAGUUAGGGGAUCGAAGACGAUCAGAUACCGUCGUAGUCUUAACCAUAAACUAUGCCGACUAGGGAUCGGAUGAUGUUAAUUUUUAAUGACUCA
rnacentral:rRNA from 1 species